rnacentral:rRNA from 1 species
UGGAAACGGUGAGUAAUACCGUAUACGCCCUCAGGGGGAAAGAUUUAUCGGAGAAGGAUCAGCCCGCGUUAGAUUAGGUAGUUGGUGGGGUAACGGCCUACCAAGCCUACGAUCUAUAGCUGGUUUUAGAGGAUGAUCAGCCACACUGGGACUGAGACACGGCCCAGACUCCUACGGGAGGCAGCAGUAGGGAAUCUUGGACAAUGGGGGCAACCCUGAUCCAGCCAUGCCGCGUAGUGAAGAAGGCCCUAGGGUCGUAAAGCUCUUU